GAUGAACGCUGGCGGCGUGCCUAAUACAUGCAAGUCGAGCGAACGGACGAGAAGCUUGCUUUUCUGAUGUUAGCGGCGCACGGGUGAGUAACACGUGGAUAACCUACCUAUAAGACUGGGAUAACUUCGGGAAACCGGCGCUAAUACCGGAUAAUAUUUUGAACCGCAUGGUUCAAAAGUGAAAGACGGUCUUGCUGUCACUUAUAGAUGGAUACGCGCUGCAUUAGCUAGUUGGUAAGGUAACGGCUUACCAAGGCAACGAUGCAUAGCCGACCUGAGAGGGUGGUCGCCCACACUGGAAGUGGGACGCGGUCCUGACUCCUGCGAGAGGCAGCAGUAGGGAAUCGUCCGCAGUGGUGGAGAGCCUUACGGAGCAGCGCCGCGUGAGUGAUGAAGGUCUUCGGAUCGUAAAGCUCUGUUACUAGGGAAGAACAGAUUUGUAAGUAGCUGUGCACUUCUUGACGGUACUUGAUCAGGAAGCCACGGCUAACUACGUG
rnacentral:rRNA from 1 species